GCUGGACGGAAACCCUAGCCGCCCGUCCAUGGCGACCCACCGCAGCACCCAAAGGCCUCGACGACGGCGGUAUGGUAGGAGCAACGGCGACCAGCGACGGCCAUGGCGACCCACCGCAGCCUCCAAGACCUCGACAACGGUCGGUGCUACGGUGAGGUACAGCAACCAGCGACGGGACGACGCCUAAAUCCACCGGUACAGGAGAGCAGCCAUGGAAUGGAAGGUCCGUUCCACCCGUUCUUCCCCGCUUGAU